rnacentral:rRNA from 1 species
AACGCGAAGAACCUUACCUGGGCUCGAACGGCUUAAGAUCAUCUGUGGAAACACGGACUUCCCGCAAGGGACUUGAGUCGAGGUGCUGCAUGGCUGUCGUCAGCUCGUGUCGUGAGAUGUUGGGUUAAGUCCCGCAACGAGCGCAACCCUUGUCCUGUGUUGCCACUCCCCUUAAAAGGAAGCACUCUCAGGAGACCGCCAGCGAUAAGCUGGAGGAAGGUGGGGAUGAUGUCAAGUCAUCAUGGCCUUUAUGUCCAGGGCUACACACGUGCUACAAUGGACGGUACAAAGCGCUGCUAACCCGCGAGGGGGAGCCAAUCGCAAAAAACCGUUCUCAGUUCGGAUCGCAGGCUGCAACCCGCCUGCGUGAAGCUGGAAUCGCUAGUAAUGGCGUAUCAGAACGACGCCGUGAAUACGUUCCCGGGCCUUGUACACACCGGAGUGC